rnacentral:lncRNA from 10 species
GUCAUGGGAGCCCUGCCGGCCAUCAGCCGUGGUCCUAUCAAAUCUGUCGGAGCCCCUCACCCUGAUGCUUCCUGUUCACGGUGUUCCAUCCCUGGCCCUUCCUCGUCCACGGUUACACGUCCUGUCCCCUCCCUCCCCAUCCUCACGGCGGUAGGAGCUGAGUCCACUCUCCCCAUCCCACGGCCCUGCUGCUGCCAUCCUGAAACCUAUCACCAGGGCCCCCGGAAUGGAGCCAGCCUGGCCACCUCCAACACGCGUUUGCAGUGACACAUGAUGGAUGCUGCUCUUCUCAACUUCCUGCUGUCUUCCUGCCGACCCUCGACUCUCUCCACUCGAGGAGCUUCCGGGAUGGAUGCGAAGGAAAGAGGGGCUCCCCAGGGACACCUCCAAGCCAGCUCUAAUACAUAUUAGACAACGCAUUAUUAGAAAUGCUGCCUUUGGGACUUAUUCAUGAAUGAUGUGCAGCCUCCCCCAAAAGCAUCUCUACAACAGUGCUUUUGCCAGCACAUCCAAGAAUGGAUCUUCCAAAAGAGUAACCUCUGAACUUCCUGAAACAAGAACUACGUUUUGAAAUUCGGAACGUGAAUCCCAAUGAGCAUGCACACGUAUUUAAAAGUUGUGUACAAGAACUGUUACUAUGUUAUACACAUCAC